AUUGAACGCUGGCGGCAUGCCUUACACAUGCAAGUCGAACGGCAGCACGGACUUCGGUCUGGUGGCGAGUGGCGAACGGGUGAGUAAUGUAUCGGAACGUACCUUUCAGUGGGGGAUAACGUAGCGAAAGUUACGCUAAUACCGCAUAUUCUGUGAGCAGGAAAGCAGGGGAUCGAAAGACCUUGCGCUGAUUGAGCGGCCGAUAUCAGAUUAGCUAGUUGGUGGGGUAAAGGCCUACCAAGGCGACGAUCUGUAGCGGGUCUGAGAGGAUGAUCCGCCACACUGGAACUGAGACACGGUCCAGACUCCUACGGGAGGCAGCAGUGGGGAAUUUUGGACAAUGGGGGCAACCCUGAUCCAGCCAUGCCGCGUGAGUGAAGAAGGCCUUCGGGUUGUAAAGCUCUUUCGGCCGGGAAGAAAGCGCAUAGGCUAAUACCCUGUGUGGAUGACGGUACCGGAAUAAGAAGCACCGGCUAACUACGUG
rnacentral:rRNA from 1 species